GGGAGGCGACGGGGCAGGAGCCGUGCGAUCGGGUCCGGCCGUGGGCCGCUGGCACUGCGGGUUGCCCCUGAGCGGGGACGGGGACGGCGCUGGGCCGCCUGGCGAGGGGCGGCGGCGGUAAUGAGGCGGGGCCGCUGCUCUGGGAGCUCGGGUCUGCCCGGCCCGCCGGGCUCGCUCUGCCUGCCCCGCGGGAGGGCCGCUGCCGCCGGCCCCCGCCUGGCCUCGUCCGCUGCUGAAGGAAGGGCUUCGUCCUCCUGUUCCGGCCAUACCGCGUGCGGCGCACCUUUAGGCCUUAACUGCGUUUUUCAAGAGUUGAAUCCGCCCCGUGCAAAAGGAAAUAACGAACACUGUAGUACUUGAACAGAAUAUUUGUUUUGAGCAGCCUGAAGCGUGCUGACCGCGUGGUUAUUGAAGAUGCAACCUUUGUAGCGUGGUGAUCUCGAGUGUUUUGCAUGCGGUCUGCAGUUCUGAUGCGGUCCUAUGAGGAUCCCAGCUUAAACAGAGGAAAGAAAUGCAGUUUCUCCGUAUGUUACUGUUCUUAAAACUUGUUCUAAACAGCUGAGAACAGUUUGACUCAGAGACACCACAAAUGUUUUAACACAAACUCUUGACAAAACUGAGUUUGCUUCUCACGCCCCGUGUAGCUUUCAGUAGGGUCGUGCAGUUAAAAGGUGGGAAUGAUUCACGUAGAGAGCUUAAGUGUAAGCCCUCCAGAAUUGUUUUGGGGAAGAUUUCAGGUAAACAGAAAGAACAAGGAAGUUAAAUAAGUUGCCCUUCAUCAAUUACAAGUUGCUACUUAGAAGCCUGAAGCAAAUUGCAGAAGGAAAUCAAGGGUGACCUAUGUUUGUAAUAGCAGUUAUAGUCCUGAUUCAGCUGGGAUAGAGUCACCAUUAGGAAGGUUGGGCAAGUGUGUGUCAUAUGUUUGCAGCACCUUGAAGUUCCAGUAGUUCGUGUUGUUGUACUCUGUGCCCAUGUGGAAGGCCUGUAAAGGAAGUACAGUAAGAUGGAGCACAUCUUAAAAAUCCUUUCAUUUUUCUGUAGGCUUUCUCCUGUUGUUUGGUUUUAUUUAUUAAAUGUGAAAUUUCCUUUCCCUCCCCCCCCCCCCCCCCAAAAUAGAAGCUCCCACUGUUUCAUUAACACGAACAUUUCAGCUGGGAAAGUGCUGGUGUGGGAGGGAAGUGGGGUGUGGUAGGGCAUGACAAAAGUGUUAACCUGAGUGUGAAUUUUGGGUGUGUACUGCAUUAGUGUGUAUGGAAUAAGGGCUUAGGCAGGUGGUUUUUCUGAGGCCUUUCAGGGCCUGUUUUCUUUGACUGUGCUGAUCUGAAGCUAAAUGGCUGAAAUAAUCAGUCUUAUUAUUUUGCACAGAAUUUUCUGUACAUUAAUUUACUGCUGAUAGAAGUUGCAGAAUUAUUAAUUCUUGAGCUUCUGGAAGUUGCUGCCAUCAUCUCUUCUACAGAGUCUCUGCUUCUCUAAAAAUGCCAGUAGGGAGUUAAUUAGUCUUCAGUUAACUGGCUCUCACAAUUAAAUGCAGCCAUACAUUGUUAUUUUCUCCAGAAUCCAGCUGUGCUCAUGGGAGAGGUUUUCCAGCUGUUUCUUCUCAUGGCUCCACUGGGAAUGCAGAUCUACUGGAAGGUUGAUUUAUGUAACCAAUCCAUGAUAUCAAUCUUAGAUAUCGUCUAUGUUAGCUCAGAUGACUAUUAAAAACUAUUUAAAUUGAC
rnacentral:lncRNA from 1 species